AUCACUUCUCAACCUUCUGGCUAAGCUCAAGGGUAGGAUCUGUUGUUGUCAGUUUUAAUAUCUGGAAUGUCCUCAGUGGGAGACCUUUACAUUAAAUGGGUUGUUUUGCCUGGGAACUGAACUCAGAGCUUGCUCCUUCCACUCCAUGCAUUGCCCCAGUAUUGCAGUGACCUCUGGGGUUGUUCAGCCUGA